GAGUUUGAUCAUGGCUCAGGACGAACGCUGGCGGCGUGCUUAACACAUGCAAGUCAAGGGGGCCCGGUAGCAAUACUGGGCAACCGGCGAACGGGUGCGUAACACGUGGGCAACCUACCGAAAUGUGGGGGAUAGCCGGUCUAACGGCCGAGUAAUACCGCAUACGCUCUCGAUGAGGCAUUUCAUUGAGAGGAAACCUACGGGACAUUUCGAGGGGCUCGCGGCCUAUCAGCUAGUUGGAGAGGUAACGGCUCACCAAGGCAACGACGGGUAGCUGGUCUGAGAGGAUGGCCAGCCACAUUGGGACUGAGAUACGGCCCAGACUCCUACGGGAGGCAGCAGUGGGGAAUCUUGCGCAAUGGCCUAACGGCUGACGCAGCGACGCCGCGUGUGGGAUGAAGCUCUUCGGAGUGUAAACCACUGUUGCCCGGGACGAAUAGCUCGAUUAAUCGAGCCUGACG
rnacentral:rRNA from 1 species